AAGUCGUAACAAGGUUUCCGUAGGUGAACCUGCGGAAGGAUCAUUAAAAAAUCUUAAUAAUGAGCCGCAAGGCUCUGACAUUUUGUGAACUGUGUGUGGUGGUUGGAGUGCGUGAGAUGCUGUGCUGGUGUUUAUUAUUAUAUGAUGGCAUUGGUCGGCGUACGUCACACGAUACAACAACACUACAAACCUUGAUAAUACAUAUGAUUUUGAUGUUGAGGAAGUAUUAUUAUGUCAAUAAUAUAUAUACAACUUUCAACAGUGGAUCUCUCGGCUCUU
rnacentral:misc_RNA from 1 species